GAACAAAUAGCUCCAAUGGCAGCGCAGCGGUUUGAAGCACCGCCCGUGCAGGUUCGACUCCUGCUUUGUUCACCA
rnacentral:tRNA from 1 species